rnacentral:tRNA from 1 species
CUCCCCUUGGUGUAGUUGGUUUAUCACGUUCGACUGUAAAUCGAAAGGUCCCUAGUUCGAUUCUGGGAGGGGAGA